CAAGGUUUCCAGGGGAAGGUUCGUCCGCCCUGGGUUAGUCGGGACCUAAGCUGAGGCCGAAAGGCGUAGGUGAUGGACAACAGGUUGAUAUUCCUGUACUACCGAUAACCGUUUGAGAGAAGGGAUGACACAGUAGGAUAAGCUAAGCACACUGUUGGUUAUGUGUGCCCAAGCAUUGAGGCAGUCAAAGUAGGCAAAUCCGCUUUGAUAAUGCUGGGAUGUGAUGGGGAGCGAAAUUUAGUAGCGAAGUAGCUGAUUUCACACUGUCAAGAAAAGUCUCUAUCGAGGUUAAAGGUACCCGUACCGCAAACCGACACAGGUGGGUGAGGAGAGUAUCCUAAGGCCAGCGAGAGAACUGUUGUUAAGGAACUCGGCAAAAUGACCCCGUAACUUAGGGAUAAGGGGUGCCACCAUCAGGUGGCCGCAGAGAAUAGGCCCAAGCGACUGUUUACCAAAAACAUAGGUUUCUGCUAAGUCGCAAGACGAUGUAUAGGAGCUGACGCCUGCCCGGUGCUGGAAGGUUAAGGGGAUCUGUUAGAG
rnacentral:rRNA from 1 species